AUAAAGCUGAAUUACAACAAUUUUGCAAAGAUGAGUGGGCCAAAAUUCCUCCAGAGCGCUGUAAAAGACUCAUUGCAAGUUAUCGCAAACGCUUGAUUGCAGUUAUUGCUGCUAAGGGUGGCCCAACCAGUUAUUAGGUUCAGGGGGCAAUUACUUUUUCACACAGGGCCAUGUAGGUUUGGAUUUUUUUUCUCCCUAAAUAAUAAAAAACAUCAUUUAAAAACUG